GGCGGGAGCGGGGGAGCGGGAGGUGAAGGUGAAGAGCAGCAGCGGGCUCGGGGCUGGCUGCGGCUGCUCGCUGGGCUGUGCGGCUGUGCCCAGAGGGCGGAGUUCCCGCACGCUGCUGCCUCACCGGAGAACCUGCCCUCGGCGCAGCGCUCCGCAGCCGGGACCCCACCGCCGCCGCCCUCCCCGCACCGCUCUGUGUGGCCUCGCUUCCCCCCGGGCUCGGGGAGCCGGGAGGUGGCGGAGCGGCGCUGCCCCCAGUCCUCGUCCUCGGGCGGGGUUCCCGAGCACCUCUCACACCGCAAAGCGCGUGUCUAACGCCAGGAUUUUUCUUUUUUCUUUUUGGUCUCUUUUCGAAGCGUUUCCUCCCCCCGUCUCCCCUCCCCCUCGCUCCCAUCGGAGCCACCACCCGCCCGGAGCGGGUCUGCGUCCGCUCUCGGAACCGCCGGAGAAGCUGCAGGAAGAGCGGGGAAGGGCGCACCGUCGGCUGCGAUCACUGGAGGCAAACAUCGAAUUAAUUGGAUCUUGGUGGCUGAGGCUGGUAACAGUGUAUUGAACGGAGUUAUCUGCCACAAUGCCCAGGUGUCUGCCAGAAUGUCAGGACAUUCUAGACCAGAUCUCUCCUCCUGUCUGCCGGGAGGGCUGAACUGUAAAUCUGUCUCGAGUGAUGCACCCUACACCGUGGGUAGGUGCGUCACUUCGGAGCCGGAGAGAGAUGGGAGCUCAUCCGAGGAGCUUUCAGACACCUCCGUGGGAUGGGUCGUUAGGGAGUGUCGGAAUCCACACGAAAUUGCAGAUCUAACAUGUGAGGAACAUAAAGCCCCGCUCUCUGACAGUGGGAGCGCAAACACGCAGACACGCGGGACUGAGCCUGGUGCUUGCUGAGCACUGUGACUCACGGCUUUGGGCCUCGGUGCUGGUUUGUAAAAUGCCUCACACACGUCCUGCUGCAGUCGAUAGCCGGAAAGCUACCGACCGUGUGAGUCAUGAGCCGUCAGCAAAAGACUUCGCCCGCUCUUCCAGCGCCUAAUAAAAGAAUUAAACAGAUGCCCUUAUCUUCUUCUGAAGAAAAACGAAAGAAAGAAAGAAAAUGUGGCAAUGCACUGUGACUUUCUCAGGAGCGCUGAAAUCCUGCCCCUGGGAUCUGGUUCUUCCCCUCUCCACCGCCGUGCGGCAUUCCCUAUAGCGUACGCCUACCGCCAGGCGCCCUUAAGCAUCUCAACAGAAUUGCUCUUUGGCAUCGAAACUGCUGGCUGCGGCUGAUGCCACGAGUCCGCGCAGAAAAGUGGCCAGGGCUUUUCUCACGGCUGGAGAAGCGUGUCCAUAAAUCGAUAGAUUCUCUCGGUGUGGAACCCGGGGGAGGGGGUCCCGAACAGGCGACCCCUUUUCUCUGUUCUUGUGUUGCCCGAGUCUCUGAGCGGCUUUCCCGAGCGCUGGGACGGCCGAGACACGGGGCCGGGGGGUCGGGGCCGUGCCUGGACUGCGCUCUGCUUAUGGUCGGAGAUUUGUGGGAGUAGAGAGAACCCUGACAGCCAGAGUGGGACCUGGCCGGGAGCGGGCUCCGUGAUGGAGGAUGGCUGCAUGCUCGUGAUGCGAAGGGCGGAACAGGACAGCGCGCUGGCACCGAGAGCUUUUCUUUUUUUUUUUUUUUUUUUUUUUUUUUGUUCAUUAGAACCAAAAGGAAAAAUGGAG
ensembl:lncRNA